UGCCAGCCGCCGCGGUAAUACGGAGGGUCCAGGCGUUAUCCGGAUUUAUUGGGUUUAAAGGGUGCGCAGGCGGAAUAAUAAGUCAGUGGUGAAAGCCUACAGCUUAACUGUAGAACUGCCAUUGAUACUGUUAUUCUUGAGUAUAGUUGAAGUAAGCGGAAUGUGUCAUGUAGCGGUGAAAUGCAUAGAUAUGACACAGAACACCAAUUGCGAAGGCAGCUUACUAAGCUAUUACUGACGCUGAGGCACGAAAGCGUGGGGAGCGAACAGGAUUAGAUA
rnacentral:rRNA from 1 species